rnacentral:rRNA from 1 species
UACAGAGGGUGCGAGCGUUGUCCGGAAUCACUGGGCGUAAAGGCGCGUAGGCGGCCUGAUAAGUAGGGGGUGAAAUCCUGUGGCUUAACUGCAGGGCUGCCUCCUAGACUGUUAGGCUCGAGCACGGUAGAGGCAGAUGGAAUUCCCGGUGUAGCGGUGGAAUGCGUAGAGAUCGGGAAGAACGAUCGGUGGCGAAGGCGGUCUACUGGGCCGAUACUGACGCUGAGG